UACAUACAGAAGAAACGAAUAAAUAAGAGAAAGAAAGAAAGAAAGAAAGAAAGAAAGAAAGAAAGAAAGAAAGAAAGAAAGAGAAAGAGCAAAAUUUAUCCAACUUACAUAAAAUGGAAUCUUUUUUAAAUCUUUACUUUGAAAUGAAGAUGCAGUUUUUAGGAGGCUUCCAGCCAAUCAUGACAGGAGAAGGCCGAUGACACCUGUCAGUGCCCACAAUGGAAAGAGCAGAGCUGCUCUACAAUACAGUGCACCAAGCAGGAAAGAGGACAGUCCGGAAAGACCACACUCUCCCCACCCUCAAUUAAAGAGGGGAAUCAUCUGGUGUUUGAAAGAUACUAUUUAAUAUACGGUAUCUAUAGACUGUGAAGUAACAAAGGAUCUAAAUGAGAAGUCAAGUGAACGAAAAAGCCCAGACUAGAGUUAAAAAUAAAAU